AGUGAACGCUGGCGGUAGGCCUAACACAUGCAAGUCGAACGGCAGCACAGUAAGAGCUUGCUCUUACGGGUGGCGAGUGGCGGACGGGUGAGGAAUACAUCGGAAUCUACUUUUUCGUGGGGGAUAACGUAGGGAAACUUAUGCUAAUACCGCAUACGACCUACGGGUGAAAGCAGGGGAUCUUCGGACCUUGCGCGAUUGAAUGAGCCGAUGUCGGAUUAGCCAGUUGGCGGGGUAAAGGCCCACCAAGGCGACGAUCCGUAGCUGGUCUGAGAGGAUGAUCAGCCACACUGGAACUGAGACACGGUCCAGACUCCUACGGGAGGCAGCAGUGGGGAAUAUUGGACAAUGGGCGCAAGCCUGAUCCAGCCAUACCGCGUGGGUGAAGAAGGCCUUCGGGUUGUAAAGCCCUUUUGUUGGGAAAGAAAAGCAGCAGGUUAAUACCCCGCUGUUCUGACGGUACCCAAAGAAUAAGCACCGGCUAACUUCGU
rnacentral:rRNA from 1 species